AUUGAACGCUGGCGGAAUGCUUUACACGUGCAAGUCGAACGGCAGCACGGACUUCGGUCUGGUGGCGAGUGGCGAACGGGUGAGUAAUGUAUCGGAACGUGCCCAGUCGUGGGGGAUAACGUAGUGAAAAUUACGCUAAUACCGCAUACGAUCUAUGGAUGAAAGCGGGGGAUCGCAAGACCUCGCGCGAUUGGAGCGGCCGAUAUCAGAUUAGGUAGUUGGUGGGGUAAAGGCCCACCAAGCCAACGAUCUGUAGCUGGUCUGAGAGGACGACCAGCCACACUGGAACUGAGACACGGUCCAGACUCCUACGGGAGGCAGAAGUGGGGAAUUUUGGACAAUGGGCGAAAGCCUGACCCAGCCAUUCCGCGUGCAGGAUGAAGGCCCUCGGGUUGCAAACUGCUUUUGUACAGAACGAAAAGGUUUCUACUAAUACUAGGAGCUCAUGACGGUACUGUAAGAAUAAGCACCGGCUAACUACGUGCCAGCCGCCGCGGUAA
rnacentral:rRNA from 1 species